CAGCCGCCGCGGGAAUACAGAGGGUGCGAGCGUUAAUCGGAUUUACUGGGCGUAAAGCGUGCGUAGGCGGCUUUUUAAGUCGGAUGUGAAAUCCCUGAGCUUAACUUAGGAAUUGCAUUCGAUACUGGGAAGCUAGAGUAUGGGAGAGGAUGGUAUAAUUCCAGGUGUAGCGGUGAAAUGCGUAGAGAUCUGGAGGAAUACCGAUGGCGAAGGCAGCCAUCUGGCCUAAUACUGACGCUGAGGUACGAAAGCAUGGGGAGCAAACAGGAUUAGAUACCCCCGUAGUCCCUGUCUCUUAUAC
rnacentral:rRNA from 1 species